AAAAUGCCUGGGUAUCAUAACCACUUGACUCAGCUAGGAGUUAAUCUUCCUGAUGAUAGUGUCAUUGACAGAGUUCUUCAAUCACUGCCACCAAGCUAUAAAGUCUUCGUGAUGAACUAUAAUAUGCAAAGGAUAGAAAAGACUAUUCCCGAGCUCUUCGAGAUGCUAAAGGCUGCGGAGGUAGAAAUCAAGAAAGAGCAUCAAGUGUUGAUGGUUAACAAGACCACUAGUUUCAAGAAAAAGGGCAAAGGGAAGAAUGGGAACUUCAAGAAGAAUAGCAAGCAAGUUGCUGCUCAAGGGAAGAAGCCCAAGUCCGGACCUAAGCCUGAAACUGAGUGCUUCUACUGCAAAAGGACUGGUCACUGGAAGCGAAACUGCCCCAAGUAUUUGGUGGAUAAGAAGGAUGGGAAAGUGAAAGGUAUAUUUGAUAUACAUGUUAUGGAUGUGUACCUUACCAAUGCUUGUAGUAGCGCCUGG
rnacentral:rRNA from 1 species